CAGUCGCCACGGUAAUACGUAGGUCCCGAGCGUUGUCCGGAUUUAUUGGGCGUAAAGCGAGCGCAGGCGGUUAGAUAAGUCUGAAGUUAAAGGCUGUGGCUUAACCAUAGUACGCUUUGGAAACUGUUUAACUUGAGUGCAAGAGGGGAGAGUGGAAUUCCAUGUGUAGCGGUGAAAUGCGUAGAUAUAUGGAGGAACACCAGUGGCGAAGGCGACUCUCUGGUCUGUAACUGACGCUGAGGAGCGAAAGCGUGGGGAGCGAACAGGAUUAGAUACCCGAGUAGUCCCUGUCUCUUAUAAC
rnacentral:rRNA from 1 species